CACAUUUUAGAUUGAAAUCUAUGACAAUUCCCAAGUAUUUGUAAUUCUCAACUCUAGCUAUCUUUUUAUUCUGAAUUUUUACAUCAAUAUGCCUCAGUACACUGUCGCAAUAGCUUCCAAAUGUCAUACAAUAGUUUUAUUCACGUUUAGAGAUAACUUAUUUACCGCCAACCAUUUUUAUAUCACAGUAAGAAAAUCAUUAAUUUUUUUUGCGCCUCUAUCCACGUAUUGCCUGCUGCUAUCAUUGCAGUAUCAUCUGCGUACGAUAGAAUUGAUUCUAGUGGAAUCUCCUUUAGAACAUCAUUUAUAUAUAAAAUAUAAUAGGAGUAGACCCAGUAUUGUACCCUAUGGAACACCCAUACUUAUUAGUAAACUAUCACUUUCUACACCGACAAUUUUAACAGUUUGAUAUCUGUUAUUCAAAUAGCUUCAAAGAAGAUCCAACGCCUGUCCUUUAAUACCAAUACAAUACAGUUUAUCUAAUAACAACUUAUGGUCGGCUGUAUCAAAAGUUUUAGACAAGUCGAGAGAGAUGACUAUUGUUGGUAUCGAUUUAUCUACGUUAUUGUACAAUAUUUGCGUGAUAUAGUUUAAGACAUUUUUUGAACCAAUAUUUUUCAUAAAACCAAAUUGGUGUUUGAAGAUUAUGUCAUUAUUUUGGAUAAAAUCAUGUAGCCUGUUAUAGAUAAUUCGUUCGAAAAUUUUAGCAACAUUACAUAUGAGUGAGAUGGGCCUAUAAUUGGUAAUGUUAUAUUUUUCCCCUGCUAUAUAUAUUGGAAUGAUCUCGGCCUUUUUUGUGCAUUUGGCCAUAUAGCUUUUUUAAUGCACAAAUUAAAAAUAUGCGUUAAGGUUACCGCGAUAUAAUUACAAAUCACUUUCAAGGACUUAAGAUUUAUUUUGUCUACUCCACCAUUUUUUAUUGUCAAUGUAUUGAUUAUGUUUUUUACUUCAUUCGUGUUUGUAGGUUUUAUAGAAAUUGACUUUGCAUUAAUAUCCGGUAGUUUAAAUUUAGUAUUAUUGGGUUGCAUGAUAUCAUUACUCAAUGUGGCCGAUCUCACAAAAAAACUUGUUCAUGUUUCUAGCUAUCUUAUUUUUUUCUGUAACUUUAUUAUCAUUUAUCUUUAUAUAACUUAUGGUUUCAUUAGGUCUUUUUUUUGCCAAGUUUAUUGUUUAUGAUUUCCCAAAGUUUUUAGAGUUAUUUGCAUUUCUUUCGACUAGUUUUUUAUCAUAUCUAAAUUUGGCGUCUUUAUUAACUUUUUCUAAAAUUUUGAAAUAGGUUCUAUAUUCAGUUUUAAGUUGUUCGUUAUUAAUACCCAACUUCCAUAAGUUAUAUAAGAAUUCUUUGGUUUCACACGAUUUAAUUAUCGCAUCAGUGAUCCAAUUUUUCCUCCCUACCUGUUUAAGCUUUCUUUGAUUUAUUUUGGAUAACUUGUUACUUGUUUCAGCAAUAUUUAUUAAUUUUUUAUAAUUUAAAACUAUUGUUGGUUUGUUAUGUACUAUUUUCAUUUCAUUGAGCUAUAAAUAUAGGGUAAUGGUCUGUUAUAGAUAGUUUAAGUUUAUUAGUAAUUGUAUUUAAGUUAUCAGUUUUUAUGAAAAUAUUAUCAAUGCAAGAUCCCUUUGCAAUGCCCACAGGUGACCUCGUAAUUCUAACGAAUCCAGGAAUAUAUCCUUUAUUGAAGAAAUUACACAGGAAUUCUUGGCUCACAUGAUCGAAAUCCAAUAUAUCAAUAUUGAAAUCUCCUUAAACACAAGAAUGCUUCGCUGUCCCGCUUUGGUACGUAAACAACACCGCAGAGUCGCCAGCAGCGGCGAGAGAGGCGCAUAACAAAGAUUACGUAACAAGAGCGAGCACGCAGCGGCGUAAAUCAUUAAUUAUAUUCAUCUUUCAUUCUCUUUUUUGACCUGUCGUCAGAUAUACGACACAGGGCAGUAAAUUUUCACAGCUCUUCCAUAAUAAUAUAAAUUAAAUAUUUUGCACCGGACCUAGAAGAGCCGUGAUCGUUACAUAACUGCAAACAUUUUAGCGGGCAUCAUACAACAAUUUUUACAAGAAUUACCUACCAUAAAUUGUUCUCUUUAAGGUGCCUAUGAAAUAUGGCGGAUUAUACGUAUGUAUUUCAUAUUGCAUUAUUAAUGAACAGGUUUUUUUUUUAAUUAUACAGAUAAUAACAUACAUAAUCUCCAAUUUUUCUUAAUAAUAUAUGUAUUGUAAACUAAUUUAGACAACUAUUUAUUCUCUUUAAUAGUCUGAAGUAUUUUUAUAUUGUAAAAAUGAAACAAAUCAUUAUGGUCGUAAUUCUUCCCAAAAUUUCUGCAGUAAAAUUGUAUGCCAGUUGAUUACAUGUUUGCUAAUUUUCUGUUAAAGCUUCUGCAUUAUUGUAGCGUGAUUUUUUAAAUUAUUUGUAAUUAUGCAUACUCUGGUAAAAAUCGGUUCUAUUAGAAAUUUAGAAAGAGCCCAUUUUAAAAAGAUACUAUCAAAGCUUGAAAUCAAUUUUUUUAGACAUUCAGUCUUCACUUACUGGCAUAAUCUGGUAAUAUUGUCAUAUUAAUUUCAGAACUUGUUUAUACAGAUAUCCUAAUUCUUUUAUAAAUUUAUAAAUUAUUAUUAUUAUUUUAUAAAUUUUAGUCGACAAAUAUUGAUUGUUAUUUGUGUAAACUGUUAAAAAUUAAUCAGAUUACAUAGUUCUGCUCCGAUAUUCUUUAUAAAAUAAGUCAAGUAAUAAAUUUAUAUUUUUUGAGGAUUUUGAGAUCAUUUUCAUUGUAUUAAAUCCCGAAAAGAAAGGAUAAAAAACAUUCCAAAUUUGUCAAUCACAACAAUAUAUUAUUAUCCCUAAUAAAUAAAAUCUUUGUAAGUUUUGCCUAGUUCCUAGAUUAGAAGUUAUUUUUAAAUUGACAGAUUUCUACCAGUGUAGUACAUAUAUACAUACAUACACACACAUAUAUAUGAUAAUAUAAAUAUAUAAUAAUCAUU